CCUACGGGUGGCUGCAGUCGAGAAUCAUUCACAAUGGGGGAAACCCUGAUGGUGCGACGCCGCGUGGGGGAAUGAAGGUCUUCGGAUUGUAAACCCCUGUCAUGUGGGAGCAAAUUAAAAAGAUAGUACUCAAAGAGGAAGAGACGGCUAACUCGGUGCCCGCAGCCGCGGUAAUACAGAGGUCUCAAGAGUUGUUCGGAAUCACUGGGCGUAAUGCGUGCGUAGGCUGUUUCGUAAGUCGUAUGUGAAAGGCGCGGGCUCAACCCGCGGACGGCAAAUGAUACUGCGGAACUAGAGUAAUGGUGGGGGAAGCGGAAUUCUCGGUGUAGCAGUGAAAUGCGUAGAUAUCG
rnacentral:rRNA from 1 species